GCCCCCGUAGCUUAAUGGAUAAAGCAGUACUCUUCUAAGGUAUUGAUGUAGGUUCGAUUCCUGCCGGGGGCA
rnacentral:tRNA from 1 species